UACGAAGGGGGCUAGCGUUGCUCGGAAUCACUGGGCGUAAAGCGCACGUAGGCGGGUUGCUAAGUCAGGGGUGAAAUCCUGGAGCUCAACUCCAGAACUGCCUUUGAUACUGGCGGCCUUGAGUCCGGGAGAGGUGAGUGGAACUGCGAGUGUAGAGGUGAAAUUCGUAGAUAUCAAGAGGAACACCUGAGGUGAAGACGGGUUGCUGGGCUGACACUGACGCUGACAGCGCGAAAGCUAGGGGAGCAAACGGG
rnacentral:rRNA from 1 species